CAAUAGCGUAUAUUUAAGUUGUUGCAGUUAAAAAGCUCGUAGUUGGAUUUCGGGUGGGACGCAGCGGUCUCGCAUUGCGUUUGUACUGCUGCAGCCCUCCUUCUUGCCGGGGGCGGCCUCUCGGACUUCACUGUCUGGGGGUCAGAAUCGGCGAUGUUACUUUGAGUAAAUUAGAGUGUUCAAAGCAAGCUUACGCUCUGAAUAUAAUAGCAUGGGAUAACACGACAGGACUCUGGUCUUAUUGUGUUGGUCUUCGAGACCGGAGUAAUGAUUAAGAGGGACAGUUGGGGGCAUUCGUAUUUCAUUGUCAGAGGUGAAAUUCUUGGAUUUAUGAAAGACGAACUUCUGCGAAAGCAUUUGCCAAGGAUGUUUUCAUUA
rnacentral:rRNA from 1 species